GCCGAUGUAGCUCAGCUGGCUAGAGCAGCUGAUUUGUAAUCAGCAGGUCGGGGGUUCGAGUCCCUUCAUCGGCU
rnacentral:tRNA from 5 species